CCUACGGGGGGCUGCAGUGGGGAAUAUUGGACAAUGGGCGCAAGCCUGAUCCAGCAAUGCCGCGUGUGUGAAGAAGGCCUGCGGGUUGUAAAGCACUUUGAGUGGGGAAGAAGGCCUGGGGGUUAAUAGCUUCUGGGAUUGACGUUACCCACAGAACAAGCACCGGCUAACUCCGUGCCAGCAGCCGCGGUAAUACGGAGGGUGCGAGCGUUAAUCGGAGCGCCUGGGCGUAAAUGACGCGUAGUGGGUUGAAAGCCCUGGGCUUAACCUGGGAACUGCAUUGGAUACUGUUUGACUGGAGUGUGGUAGAGGGGUGUGGAAUUUCCGGUGUAGCAGUGAAAUGCGUAGAGAUCGGAAGGAACACCAGUGGCGAAGGCGGCACCCUGGACCGACACUGACGCUGAGGUGCGAAAGCGUGGGGAGCAAACAGGAUUAGAUACCCCUGUAGUC
rnacentral:rRNA from 1 species